rnacentral:tRNA from 1 species
AGGUUCUUAGUAUAAUGGUAUUACCGUGAGCUCCAACCUCAUUGAUGUGGGUUCGAUUCCUACAGGGCCUG